GACGAACGCUGGCGGCGUGCUUAACACAUGCAAGUCGAACGGAAAGGCCCUGCUUUUGUGGGGUGCUCGAGUGGCGAACGGGUGAGUAACACGUGAGUAACCUGCCCUUGACUUUGGGAUAACUUCAGGAAACUGGGGCUAAUAUCGGAUAGGAGCUCCUGCUGCAUGGUGGGGGUUGGAAAGUUUCGGCGGUUGGGGAUGGACUCGCGGCUUAUCAGCUUGUUGGUGGGGUAGUGGCUUACCAAGGCUUUGACGGGUAGCCGGCCUGAGAGGGUGACCGGCCACAAUGGGACUGAGAUACGGCGCAGACGCCUACGGGAGGCAGCAGUGGGGAAUAUUGCACAAUGAGCGGGAGCCUGAUGCAGCAACGCCGCGUGCGGGAUGACGGCCUUCGGGUUGUAAACCGCUUUCGCCUGUGACGAAGCGGGAGUGACGGUAAUGGGUAAAGAAGCACCGGCUAACUACGUG
rnacentral:rRNA from 1 species